AAGGUCAAAGAUUUGUACAAAGUGCCUGUAGGAGGAACAGCCGAUGAAUUUCGACAUUUUAUCUACCAAAUGGAAAACAUCCACGAUGAUGGAUCCAAAUGUCCAGCUUGUUAUGAGGAUUCUCCCUCCCUGAUAAGCUUGCUAGAGCAGAGGAUAUAGAAAAAAAAAGCAAGGAGGCUCUUCAAGAAAUUUUGGAACCUUUUGCAGGAGUAACAACUGAAUGUCUACAGGAAUGGAUAGAUUAUGAGCGGGUUGUGUGUAUCCGCAGCAAAUCAACUGAAAAUCACUCCUUGUCACCUGCUGAAGAGUAUUGUCUAGUCCUGGAGGAGCUAACAAAAUACAGGGGUGUGUUUGCGACGGAUGAAAACAAAGAUAAGAA